AGCCCCCGUGAAGGCUCGCACCUCCCACCUCCCGCAAGGGCCGCCAUCUCCCACCUUCAGGCCGCGCCGCGAGGAUCUUGAUCUCCAGGCGUGGUGGUCGAGGGUGCCCGUCGCUGUAGUCCCCAGCCUGGAUCCAAUCGACAAGGCCGCCACUGCCGCACCGGCCGUCCCGAGCCCCGCCGCGAGCGGCCACAUCGGUGCAGGAUCCGACCGCCACGGGCCCCUAGCGAUGUCUUCGGUAGUGGAUCCGACCAUCACGGGCGACGUUGCCACUGGUGUCCACCGACUCCUGCGGCCACAAGUCUCCUUCCCUCCUCUCCUGAUCUGGCCUUCUCGACGACCACGGAGGCACACCUCCUGCUGCAGCUCGCCCGCGUGGCUUGGCUGCCCAGAGGAGGAGCACGCGGCAAGCUUCCCCUUCCUCCUCUCUGGCGACGGCUCCGACGAGCUCCCUACGCGCGCCUCUGUCUUGCGCAGCGGCGGCCGACCCCGCCUUUCACCAGUCCGGCGAUGAUAGGCUGCGGGAUGCCGACGUGUUUGUCAGGCUGUGGUUCUCCUAUGGUCGCGCAGCGGUCCAGUUGCCGCCCAGCUCACGGUUCACAUCCCCUGCUCAGCCCCGAUCUUCAAACAACGCUGCCGUGCCCCAUGCGUGAGGAGGCUCUGUUGACAAAGUCCGUAAUCGUGGCCGUGCACCUCGUCGACGGUGUUGUGCGGUAAGCUGCGUGGGGGCGUGUGGUUCGGCGCCCGUGGACGUCCAGUUCUUUUUUCAGGGUGCCCAGAUUUCAAAAUUGUUGUGUGGUUUGGCGCCCCGUGGAGGUGCAGUUAGGCGUAUAUGUGUUUCUUUAUUCUUCCACAAAUGGUGCUGAAAGCAGAUUUGCACGGUACCAAGUUGUUAUUUCCGCUGUUUCUGACAAUUUGCAGCCGUGCGUCUAUAGGAUUCAUCAGCUGCUCAAAUUGCAUAUGCAUUUCAGCUCAGAAGAGAAACUGAUGCUCGUUUGGGUUUUCUUUUGGAUUGCUGACUUUCAACAAGGCCGCCGGCUUGACCACCUUCAUCCUCCGUCGCAAUAAGAUACAAGACGAGCAGUAGCUCACCGCGGCUUGGAGUUCACUUUUUUUGUGUUCUUCACAUUUUUACUGUUAAUCUAGUGAAUUCUAUGCAGUGAAUUUUCUAAUGUUGUUAGAUUCCUUUGUACAGUUUGCUGGGUGAUGUGUGCCUUGCACUGUAGUUCAAUCGCUGCUCUCCGGUUCAAUUUUAAUAGUCUUUUUUGCAGGAGAGGAGAAUUAUGGCACAAAAAAGAAAAAAAGGGGUACUGCGAUCAGGGAUGCAGUUCUUUUUCUAGCCCAGUUCAGGGGGUUGCAAAAAGUGUAGAAAUUGGAGAGACUAGAUAUCACUAUAUUUGUAUUUUCAUGGGCUGUUGUGCAAAUUAAAAAGAACAAAAAAUGAAGUUUUGGUGCAGUUUGAAUGCAUUUUUUUGUGAA